UCUAGUCAAAAACUGGACAGACCCGAAUAAUAAUAAUAAUACGUAUGUGUUUGUGCAGCAGUCACGGCCGAUUCCUGAGUUUUAACGAUGUUUCUCCAAAGGUUUCCUUUGGGCGCUGUCAUAGUGUCAGCAGACAUCCACUUUGUAAAUACUCUACAACUGUGACAAAUUAAUCAGUCAUCGUACGAGUUCUACGAGUCGAAGUUUACGUGUUAUCCUGUUCGAGUGAAGUAAUCAAUGGACGUUGUACGAGUUAGCACUUUUGCUAUUUGUCAAUGCGACGAUAGUUUUUUGUUUUUAUUUAUUUGUAGUGAAGGAGGUGAAAAUAUGGAAAAAUCUUCGCCUGACUGAUAAUCUCAGAAAGAAAUGGGAUCCGUCUCCAAUCGACUUUCCCUACGGGCGUUUUUUCAGCAUCUGAAGGCCUAGUAUGUACACGGUACAUCCUCGGAAACUGUAGAAAAGUAGCCAGGAGACGAUUAGCGGAUCGGAAUACAAACGCGACGAAAGCGGCGUUCGACCGACGCCGUCGGGUGACAUGAACUGCUGCAGCGAUGGAUAAAAGGCUGGAUUACACCCCUCUUUUACGCCAUAUUAUUCCCCACCAUAACCAGCAACACGACAGUAAUUAUCAUUAUAUUCAUAGAUAUCCGAAAAAACAGCUGAGGCUGAACCGCCAGCAGCAGCUGCAGCAGUCGCUCCGAAGCCCCAAACUUCAACAACCUUCGAAUAGACUUCGAACGAAAGAAGUUAAACUUGGCAUUAUUAUCUCUCGACGACCCGACUGCACCGGCGUCGAUCCUCGACGUCGCAAUGAACCAUCACCAGCGGCAGUGCGGAUAGCUCGUAGUGGUACCCACUAUAUCAAAUCAACGUAAACAAGGAAGCAGAAAAAAUCGUAAUCAUCGCGGCAUUUUUUCGCACAAAGGUACCGCUUACGACGCCGAUGACCAUGUACGUGCUCGGUACACGCAUGCAACCUGGUUCGCUUCAUCAUGUUGAGAAAAAGAAACAAAAAAUACAGGUUGCCCCAUUUAUAUUUCCCUCAAAAAACGUCACCAUUUUGUCCCGUAUUAAAAAAUCCCAGGGGGCCUAGUAUCAUUUUUCUGUACUGCUACUGUAUUGCUUGCUGAGGGCAAAGCAACCUCUGCUCAAUCAAGUUUCUCGUUUGAUGGAGAGCAGCUUUCAAACAUUUUAGUUGUACAGAAGAGAAAAUUGCUCACUCGCUUUUUGGUUCGGGUUUAUGGCUAACAAUAACGACAUGAGAAUCGAGCGAGUCCUGCACUCUUCAGUUACGAACCGGAACAAUUUUCUAAGUUCGAACUUCAGCAGCGAAAGACUUCUCGUGAGUGCUGCUAAUACGAGCGGCCAUUGCGUUUUUUAGCUACCCGAAGAGCUGCCAUACACAAAUACCAAAACAACAACCUAACCGUAUCUCGAAACCGGACUGGAGAGCAGUUCUAAAAGGGCUGCAACAGAUUCUAAUGAUUUAUUAUUACGACCUGUAUUCCAUAUAGAUAUUCAAACGUCUGAUUAAGCAGCAUA
rnacentral:lncRNA from 11 species